rnacentral:rRNA from 1 species
UACGUAGGGUGCAAGCGUUGUCCGGAAUUAUUGGGCGUAAAGAGCGUGUAGGCGGCCCGAUUAGUCCGCUGUGAAAGUCCAGGGCUCAACCCUGGAAUGCCGGUGGAUACUGUCGGGCUAGAGUCCGGAAGAGGAGAGUGGAAUUCCUGGUGUAGCGGUGAAAUGCGCAGAUAUCAGGAAGAACACCCGUGGCGAAGGCGGCUCUCUGGGACGGUACUGACGCUGAGACGCGAAAGCGUGGGGGAGCGAACAGG